rnacentral:vault_RNA from 1 species
GCACUGGUUUAGCUCAGUGGUUACUUCUCUGCACAAAUCUACCUGAUUUCGAGCUUCACUCCCUCCGCGGGAUCAAACCACGGGCGCUGUCCAGUGUUUUC